rnacentral:rRNA from 3 species
GCCCUGCUUCCAGGAAAAGCCUCUAAGCAUCAGGUAACAUCAAAUCGUACCCCAAACCGACACAGGUGGUCAGGUAGAGAAUACCAAGGCGCUUGAGAGAACUCGGGUGAAGGAACUAGGCAAAAUGGUGCCGUAACUUCGGGAGAAGGCACGCUGACACGUAGGUGAAGUGAUUUACUCAUGGAGCUGAAGUCAGUCGAAGAUACCAGCUGGCUGCAACUGUUUAUUAAAAACACAGCACUGUGCAAACACGAAAGUGGACGUAUACGGUGUGACGCCUGCCCGGUGCCGGAAGGUUAAUUGAUGGGGUCAGCGCAAGCGAAGCUCCUGAUCGAAGCCCCGGUAAACGGCGGCCGUAACUAUAACGGUCCUAAGGUAGCGAAAUUCCUUGUCGGGUAAGUUCCGACCUGCACGAAUGGCGUAAUGAUGGCCAGGCUGUCUCCACCCGAGACUCAGUGAAAUUGAACUCGCUGUGAAGAUGCAGUGUACCCGCGGCAAGACGGAAAGACCCCGUGAACCUUUACUAUAGCUUGACACUGAACAUUGAGCCUUGAUGUGUAGGAUAGGUGGGAGGCUUUGAAGUGUGGACGCCAGUCUGCAUGGAGCCGGCCUUGAAAUACCACCCUUUAAUGUUUGAUGUUCUAACGUGGACCCGUGAUCCGGGUUGCGGACAGUGUCUGGUGGGUAGUUUGACUGGGGCGGUCUCCUCCUAAAGAGUAACGGAGGAGCACGAAGGUUGGCUAAUCCUGGUCGGACAUCAGGAGGUUAGUGCAAUGGCAUAAGCCAGCUUGACUGCGAGCGUGACGGCGCGAGCAGGUGCGAAAGCAGGUCAUAGUGAUCCGGUGGUUCUGAAUGGAAGGGCCAUCGCUCAACGGAUAAAAGGUACUCCGGGGAUAACAGGCUGAUACCGCCCAAGAGUUCAUAUCGACGGCGGUGUUUGGCACCUCGAUGUCGGCUCAUCACAUCCUGGGGCUGAAGUAGGUCCCAAGGGUAUGGCUGUUCGCCAUUUAAAGUGGUACGCGAGCUGGGUUUAGAACGUCGUGAGACAGUUCGGUCCCUAUCUGCCGUGGGCGCUGGAGAACUGAGGGGGGCUGCUCCUAGUACGAGAGGACCGGAGUGGACGCAUCACUGGUGUUCGGGUUGUCAUGCCAAUGGCACUGCCCGGUAGCUAAAUGCGGAAGAGAUAAGUGCUGAAAGCAUCUAAGCACGAAACUUGCCCCGAGAUGAGUUCUCCCUGAGACUUAGAGUCUCCUGAAGGAACGUUGAAGACGACGACGUUGAUAGGCCGGGUGUGUAAGCGCAGCGAUGCGUUGAGCUAACCGGUACUAAUGAACCGUGAGGCUUAACCUUACA